rnacentral:rRNA from 1 species
GGAGACUGCCCCGGAAAUAGCGGAGGAAGGUGGGGAUGACGUCAAGUCCUCAUGGCCUUUAUGUCCAGGGCUACACACGUCAUACAAUGGCCGGCACAAAGGGUUGCGAUAGCGCGAGGUGGAGCUAAUCCCAAAAAACCGUCCUCAGUCCGGAUUGCAGUCUGCAACUCGACUGCAUGAAGUUGGAAUCGCUAGCAAUCCCAGAUCAGCAUGCUGCGGUGAAUACGUUCCCGGGCCUUGUACACACCGCCCGUCACAUCACGAAAGUUGGUUGUACCGGA